AUGAAGCCCAUCCUCACUUCCGUGCUUGUGAUCAUAGUCACACUCCGAGGAAUAAGAGCCCAGACAGUGACUCAGCCCGAGGACAUCAUCUCUGUCCUUGAAGGAGCCUCAGUGCAGGUGAAGUGCAACUACGUGUAUUCUGGGAGCCCUGUACUUUUCUGGUAUGUCCAGUAUCCCAGACAAAGCCUGCGGUUACUCCUGAAACACUUCUCAGGGGAGAGCGCCAAAGGUUUCACGGCUGUCCUUGACAAGAGUGAGGCGUCCUUCCAUCUGAAGAAGCCAUCAGCGCAAGAGGAAGACUCAGCCGUGUAUUACUGUGCCGUGAGUGACACAGUAGCUGGUUUUGCAAAGGAAGUAGAUCACAAACCCCGUGGGAGUUACAGCACAUGUUUCAUUGUAAGUUCUCUCUAUGGCCACAGUGGGGCAGUCUCUCCCUAG